GCAUCCAUAUAGUUUCUACAUCGCGUUGUUCCUCGCAGUCUCCUCCUCCACCUUACUUUGGCAUGUUGAUACUUCAUCUUCUCUGUUCCCUGAUCCCCCAAUUCUUUCUCCAUCAAAUUUCGGAAUUCAUCUGAUUGAUGUUAUUUUUCUACUCCCAAAUGAAUAGAAGGCGCUCCGAGUUAAUGGAUUCAUGGUCGUUUCCGAUGGGUUGGGUUUUUCUUCCCCUCCAAUGGCGAACUGUCAGGUUAUUAUCCGUGUGUCAUCUUACUAUGUGUGCUCAACCUGCUGCACAGAGUGUCUACAGUUGGACGGAAUCCAAGGGAGCCAUAGCUUCGUAUAACGAUGGCAUAUGGAGCAAUUCUUCUGUUUAUCCUUUUGGACAAUGAAUUUACAUGCUUUUCCGAAGACUCUAAUUGAAGGUACAUACAUACAGGCAUAUCUGAGGUAUCCACGACAAAAUAAAGUCAAUCAUGGAUUGGAUCCAUACCCAGCUUGGACAUGAACCAAUAUUCUCUCAAAAGCUUGGUAAAGAAUCUUUGUUUAAUGAAGAGUACUUGAAAAAGGAAUACUGAUUUGGUCUGAGAUUUUUGUCUGAUCAUGUAUUGUUGUGGCCACAAGCGCUCCCUUCACUGUAAACUUCCGCGUUGUCAUCAGGACGAUGUUAAAAUGCAGUCUAUGCGCGCGUGUGUGUGCGUGCACAUAUAGCAGUUAGCAUUUCCAAAAGGUUGUGAAGCUCAACACUUUCUGUAAGCACUUUGUGCUCUUCAUAUGGCAAUGCACGUUCUUAAUAUGAUGCAUGAUGUUUCAUCUCUGACCAUUUAUUGUGACAUGAUUAGUGUCUUGUGGCAUAUUAUUUUUAGGUAAUUGAAGGAGAUAAGAUAAAUUUUCUUGACAA